GCGCAUUUGGUUUUAUGUAUUGAGGAGAUCACAAGAGGUAUUUUCAAGCAUUUUCUCCCUUAUUUCAAUCUGGAAACUUCAGAGAGGAAACUGUAAGAUGCAACAAUUUUCAUUUUGUAUCAGGAACUGAAGUAUGGAAUCAAACUAAGAGAAACAGAAGCACAGAACUAAGAUCAAGGGGGCCUCAUCUUCAAGUCCUGUGGCUGUUUCUUUGCUCUGCUUGGCUCCGCUUUGUUCUUUUUGUCUGCCUUAAACUGCCAAGCAUAUGAUUUCUGAAUAAAUCAGGUGCGAAACUGGAAACUGACGAAUACUUCGUCUUGCCCCGAUGUCCCUGGCAGUGCCAGAUAGCUACUGGGGCUCAGAAAAGUGACAGGAACCACCUGUGGCUCUGAACAUGAGAAGGAUAU